GAUGAACGCUGGCGGCGUGCCUAAUACAUGCAAGUCGAGCGAACAGAUGAGGAGCUUGCUCCUCUGACGUUAGCGGCGGACGGGUGAGUAACACGUGGAUAACCUACCUAUAAGACUGGGAUAACUUCGGGAAACCGGAGCUAAUACCGGAUAAUAUAUUGAACCGCAUGGUCCAAUAGUGAAAGACGGUUUUGCUGUCACUUAUAGAUGGAUCCGCGCCGCAUUAGCUAGUUGGUAAGGUAACGGCUUACCAAGGCAACGAUGCGUAGCCGACCUGAGAGGGUGCUCGGCCACACUGGAACUGAGACACGGUCCAGACUCCUACGGGAGGCAGCAGUAGGGACUCUUCCGCAAUGGGCGAAAGCCCGACGGAGCAACGCCGCGUGAGUGAUGAAAGUCUUCGGAUCGUAAAACUCUGUUAUUAGGGAAGAACAAAUGUGUAAGUAACUAUGCACGUCUUGACGGUACCUAAUCAGAAAGCCACGGCUAACUACGU
rnacentral:rRNA from 1 species